UACGAAGGGGGCUAGCGUUGUUCGGAUUUACUGGGCGUAAAGCGCACGUAGGCGGAUCGUUAAGUCGAGGGUGAAAUCCUGGAGCUCAACUCCAGAACUGCCUUCGAUACUGGCGAUCUUGAGUCCGGAAGAGGUGAGUGGAACUCCUAGUGUAGAGGUGGAAUUCGUAGAUAUUAGGAAGAACACCAGUGGCGAAGGCGGCUCACUGGUCCGGUACUGACGCUGAGGUGCGAAAGCGUGGGGAGCAAACAGG
rnacentral:rRNA from 1 species